rnacentral:tRNA from 1 species
GGCCCCUUAGCUCAGCUGGAUAGAGCACCUGCCUUCUAAGCAGGUGGUCGCAGGUUCGAGUCCUGCAGGGGUCGCCA